CCCAUCCCUUCUCCAGAGGAUCUUCCUGACCUAGGAAUCAAACCUGGGUCUUCUGCACUGCAGGCAGAUUCUUUACUAGCUGAGCUACCUCUAGUCUGGUCCCAGGUAACUUUGAUGAGCUCCUCUGGUUCCUUGAACACUGCCUCAAGCGGUCUUUCUCUUGUAUGAAGAAUGCUGACAUCUCGAAGAACUUAAAGACACUGUUACGUGUGUCCACUGAGGCGGAACUAGGACGCUGCCCCAAGCUGCACUCUCGUUUCCCUUACGGGAAAGAAUACGACCAGGACUCGUGGAAAGGGGUCAACAGGGUCAAUGACCCUCCAGCCCCCUUUGCCUGGGACUUCAUUAUCGCAUCUGAGCUGUUGCCCUGCCCCGACCUACCCAGCCCUCCUCCAUCCCGCCUCCACUGUGCUCUUCACAUGCUGCUGGCCUGCAAGAGAAGUCUUCCACCAUGACCCUGGCGUCCCAAGACCUUCUUGCUCUGGAACCGAUUAUUUCUUUUCACCUCUGUUUUCUCUACGUCCAUUAAAAUACUCUCCAUUCUCCAAAUUCAUCCCGGAGAUUUCCAGCCUCCACAACUUCGCUGAUGCUUCUCCCUUCAAUUUUCUUCUCAGAGAACCCAAAUGUCACCCAGAAAAACCGCCCUAUUUCUAUCAAGUCUUCAACUUGAAAAUUAGACUUCUUUCACUUGAUACUUACAGUAAUUUUGUGUAUGUUUUAUUUUGAUAUAAUUUCAGAUGUACAGAAAAGUUGUAAGAAUAACAAAAAAGUCUGUGUACCAUUUCUCAGAUUUACCAAUUAUUUAUAUUUUGCUGUAUUUUCUCUCCCUCCCCCGACACACUCUUUAGGAACCAUUUGAAAAGAAGUUGGAGACAUGCUGCCUCCUGUCCCUUAAAUACUUCUGCGUGUAUUUCCUAUGAACAAGGACAUUUUCUUAUACAUGACCAUGGUGCAGUUAUCAAAGUCAGAACGUUCAACACUGAUGCUAUACUAUAUCUAACCCAAAGUCUUUAUUCCAGCAUCACCAAUCGUUGCGAUGAUGUCCUUCAUAGCUAUUUUUCCAGUCCAGGACCAUGCCCUGACCUUAGUUAUUGCAUUUCUGGUCUCCUUUACUCCAGAUUAGUUCUUUUGUUUAUCUUCCUUCUAGGGCUGUGACCAAAUGUGUCACACAGAACUUAACAAUUUCACUUUCAUACAAUGGUUAUUUGUACACUUUCCUUACUUCCUCUUCCAACCUUUGUGCUCGUUGGUGGGGUUAUCAACAUGUGACACAACUUUUAAGCUUGCCUGGCACUUACUAAAGUACCCAACACUCAGUAGAUUUAUUAUGAACAGAAUGACCGCUGUUCCUGUGCUUGGAGGAUUUAAUUUGUAGGAAGACUGCCUAGCUCUAUGGGGUCUCCCUCGAUUAAUGAGGCACAUGGAAAUCAAAGAUUGGUCCCCCAAUAGAGAAGGUGGUAGGCUAAAGCGGAAAAAGAAGAUUUUCCUAAUAUCCCCAUGAAAUCAAGCGCAAAGAUCUCCCAACUCUGAGUCCUUCUGUGCCGUAGAUUCCGACCUCUCUAGUCCUCUUAGGAACUGUCAAUCCACCUUCCUUCUUUUCUAGGUUUAGUUUAUGUUCAGUCUUUUCCUUGAACUGUAUCUUCUCUUAACAUUAAACACGUUCGAGUGUUUCGUCUUAAAAUAAAGCUCUCUGCCCUUCAGUCUUACUUCUUUCU
ensembl:lncRNA